rnacentral:rRNA from 1 species
UGGGGAAUAUUGCACAAUGGGCGCAAGCCUGAUGCAGCCAUGCCGCGUGUGUGAAGAAGGCCUUCGGGUUGUAAAGCACUCUCAGCGGGGAGGAAGGCGAUAAGGUUAAUAACCUCAUCGAUUGACGUUACCCGCAGAAGAAGCACCGGCUAACUCCGUGCCAGCAGCCGCGGUAAUACGGAGGGUGCAAGCGUUAAUCGGAAUUACUGGGCGUAAAGCGCACGCAGGCGGUCUGUCAAGUCGGAUGUGAAAUCCCCGGGCUCAACCUGGGAACUGCAUUCGAAACUGGCAGGCUAGAGUCUUGUAGAGGGGGGUAGAAUUCCAGGUGUAGCGGUGAAAUGCGUAGAGAUCUGGAGGAAUACCGGUGGCGAAUGCGGCCCCCUGGACAAAGACUGACGCUCAGGUGCGAAAGCGUGGGGAGCAAACAGG